ensembl:lncRNA
CUACGACAACAACAUUGUUUGGGACAAGCUGGUCUACAAGAUCAGCAUACGAAGAAGGCCCCUUUUAUAUGUGAUCAACCUCCUACUACCACUCUUGUUUUUCCUCAUCCUGGACUUGGCCUCCUUUUUCAUUGAUGAGGCCAAGGGGGAAAAGCUGGGCUACAAAGUGACCAUACUCUUGUCCAUCUCUGUCUUACUGCUGAUUCUCAAUGACAUCCUGCCUUCCACAGCAGAUGACCUGCCACUCAUAGCUCUUUACUGCAUCGUAAUCUUUGCCCUCACGGGCCUCAGUCUCCUGGAGACCAUGCUGGUGAGCUUCCUGAUUGAUAUGGACAGCAGGGUUGAUCACGACAUCCAGACCUCUUCUAAGACCUGUGAGGAGACUCCGGAAGAGACCGAAUGCCAAAGAGAGUCUCAGAGAGAUGCUGAGAUCAGCCUGGUGAAGGUUGAGGACAUUCCAAACAAGGACCUUAAUGGAGACUGGCUGAGCAAUCCCCGUCUACUGCAGCGGAUCCUAGAGGUGCGGAACAUACGGCAUAAAUGUUUUUUUGCUAGCGCGAGAUGUGACAAGAAAAGGCCUGGGUACUGGGAGAGAGUGGGCCGACAAAUUGACCAGGCUUACUUUUGCCUUUAUCUCAUCACCACCAUUGGUUUUCUGGUAUUCACUUAUCAUCAGUGGCUUCAUUAGUUUUGCACUUUAUACGGUGUGUGUAGAUCAUAGGUCUUGGCGCUCGAGGCCCCCCGUCUGCUAUCUGCCUAUAUUCUAGAAUAUGUAUUUAGCAUUUAGCCAUACUCACAUGCCUUGUGUUUGUCCUUACAUUUUUACGUUACUUGACCCAUGUGAUCUUCUUCUUCU